GUGCUUGCUUCAGCAGCACAUGUACUAAAAUUGGAACAAUACAGAAAAGAUUAGCAUGGACCCUGCACAAGGAUGACAUAAAUUUGUGAAAUCUUCCAUAUUUUU
rfam:Canis lupus familiaris chromosome 28, whole genome shotgun sequence.